UGGGGAAUAUUGCACAAUGGGCGAAAGCCUGAUGCAGCGACGCCGCGUGAGGGAUGACGGCCUUCGGGUUGUAAACCUCUUUCAGUAGGGACGAAGCGCAAGUGACGGUACCUGCAGAAGAAGCACCGGCUAACUACGUGCCAGCAGCCGCGGUAAUACGUAGGGUGCGAGCGUUGUCCGGAAUUACUGGGCGUAAAGAGCUCGUAGGCGGUUUGUCACGUCGUCUGUGAAAUCCUAGGGCUUAACCCUGGACGUGCAGGCGAUACGGGCUGACUUGAGUACUACAGGGGUGACUGGAAUUUCUGGUGUAGCGGUGGAAUGCACAGAUAUCAGGAAGAACACCGAUGGCGAAGGCAGGUCUCUGGGUUGUAACUGACGCUGAGGAGCGAAAGCAUGGGUAGCGAACAGG
rnacentral:rRNA from 1 species